rnacentral:rRNA from 1 species
UACGGAGGGGGCGAGCGUUAUUCGGAAUUAUUGGGCGUAAAGAGCUCGUAGGCGGUUUGUCGCGUCGAAUGUGAAAACCCGGGGCUCAACCCCGGGCCUGCAUUCGAUACGGGCAGACUAGAGUUCGGUAGGGGAGUCUGGAAUUCCUGGUGUAGCGGUGAAAUGCGCAGAUAUCAGGAGGAACACCGGUGGCGAAGGCGGGACUCUGGGCCGAUACUGACGCUGAGGAGCGAAAGCGUGGGGAGCAAACAGG